rnacentral:rRNA from 1 species
GACAGAGGGGGCAAGCGUUGCUCGGAAUUACUGGGCGUAAAGGGCGCGUAGGCGGGAUGGCAAGUCGGUCGUGAAAUCCCUCGGCUCAACCGAGGAACGUCGAUCGAUACUGCUGUUCUUGAGGAUUGCAGAGGAGACUGGAAUUCCCGGUGUAGCGGUGAAAUGCGCAGAUAUCAGGAGGAACACCGGUGGGCGAAGGCGGGGUCUC